UGGCUCAGGAUGAACGCUAGCUACAGGCUUAACACAUGCAAGUCGAGGGGCAGCUAUUUUGGUUGCUUGACAACCAAUGAUGGCGACCGGCGCACGGGUGAGUAACGCGUAUCCAACCUUCCCUUACUCAGGAAUAGCCCGUUGAAAGACGGAUUAAUGCCUGAUGUUCUCAUGUUGCCGCAUGGCGAUAUGAGCAAAGAUUUAUCGCUGAGAGGUGGGCUCGCGUCCGAUUAGGUAGUUGGUGAGGUAACGGCCCACCAAGCCUGCGAUCGGUAGCCGACCUGAGAGGGUGAUCGGCCACAUUGGGACUGAGACACGGCCCAAACUCCUACGGGAGGCAGCAGUGGGGGAUAUUGCACAAUGGAGGAAACUCUGAUGCAGCAACGCCGCGUGAAGGAAGAAGGCCUUCGGGUUGUAAACUUCUGUCCUCAGUGACGAAGUUCUGACGGUAACUGAGGAGGAAGCCACGGCUAACUACGUG
rnacentral:rRNA from 1 species